GAUGAAGAACGCAGCGAAAUGCGAUAAGUAAUGCGAAUUGCAGAAUUCCAGUGAAUCAUCGAGUCUUUGAACGCACAUUGCGCCCCCUGGUAUUCCGGGGGGCAUGCCUGUCCGAGCGUCAUUGCUGCCCUCAAGCACGGCUUGUGUGUUGGGCCUCCGCCCCCCGGCUCCCGGGGGGCGGGCCCGAAAGGCAGCGGCGGCACCGCGUCCGGUCCUCGAGCGUAUGGGGCUUCGUCACCCGCUCCGUAGGCCCGGCCGGCGCCCGCCGGCGACCCCCCUCAAUCUUUCCAGGUUGACCUCGGAUCAGGUAGGGAUACCCGCUGAACUUAAGCAUAUCAAUAAGCGGAGGA
rnacentral:misc_RNA from 1 species